AUGAUGAACACAGAUCCAGUUCACUGGAGUAGGGCUUACAUGAAAUUGGGAAGCUACUGUAAUUCAGUUGACAAUAACAUGUGUGAGUCAUUCAACAAUUGGAUCAUGGAAUCAAGAUAUCUACCUAUUAUAUCUAUGCUGGAGUGGAUAAGAUGCAAAAUUAUGGUGAGGAUACAAGAGUGCAUUACCAAGUGUUUGAAAUGGUCAGGAAUCAUAUGUCCUAACAUAUUUAAAAAACUAAAGCAGAAUAUAACAAGAUCUGGAAAUUGUCAUGUGCAUUGGAAUGGAAGAGAUGGGUUUGAAGUGUUAGAGCAUGAGAAAUACAAGUACACUGUGAAUUUGCAAACUUGGGUUUGUUCUUGUAGAUAUUGGCAGCUUUCUGGUCUGCCCUGCUGCCAUGCAAUAAGUUACAUCUUCAAGAGCUCACAACAGUUGGAUGCAUACAUAGCUGAGUGCUACUCCAUUGAGACUUACAAGAAAAUUUACUCGCAUGUGUUGGAGCCAUUGAAAGGUCAGUCAAGUUGGCCUGUUUGCGGAAGUGCUGCACACGCCGGUUUGCAGAAACAACUAAAAUCGGCGCCUGUGGCGCUAAAUAGGAAAUGCCACGAUUAG
rnacentral:rRNA from 1 species